AACCCAUGUUGUGGACACUUCCGCAAGAGAUCCUUGAAUCGUUCCCAUGUCUCAAACAAUAAUUCUAGCUUCAUCUAAACAUAUGAGGAUAUCUCAUUUAGAAGUUU